GCCUCAGUAACGGCGAAGUGAAGCGGCAACAGCCCAGAUUUGAAAUCCGGCUUUCGGGCCCGAAUUGUAAUCUUGCAGAUGAGUCUUUUGGCGAGGUGCCGUCCAAGUUCCCUGGAAUGGGACGCCGGAGAGGGUGAGAGCCCCGUACCGACGCGCGCCGAGCCUCUGCAAAGCUCAUUCGACGAGUCGAGUAGUUUGGAAAUGCUGCUCUAAUCGUGGGGUAAAUCUCCCAUAAGGCUAAAUACCGGCCAGAGACCGAUAGCGCACAAGUAGCGUGAGCGAAAGAUGAAAAGAGCCUUGGAUAAGGGCGUCAAAAAGUAUGUGAAAUUGUUGUGGGGGAAGCGCUCAGUGCCAGACGUGGCGGCGGCUGGUUACCCGGCGUUCUUCGCCGGCGCACUCUGCCGUCGCCAGGCCAGCAUCGGUUCGGAUCGGGGCUCACCGCCGCGGGCAACGUAGCCCUUCGGGGUGUUUAGGCCCGCGGCAACGUCCCGGACUGGACCGAGGAACGCGCAUCUGCCCGGAUGCUGGCGUAAUGGCCCCUAGCGACCCGUCUUGAAACACGGACCAAGGAGUUGACCUAGCGUGCGAGUGUUUGGGUGUCAAGCCCUCACGCGCAGUGAAAGCGAACGCAGGUGGGAGCCUCGGCGCACCAUCGACCGAUCCUGAAGUUCACGGAUGGAUUUGAGUAGGAGCACGCUGGGUCUGACCCGAAAGAAGGUGAACUAUGCAUGAAUAGGGUGAAGCCAGAGGAAACUCUGGUGGAGGCUCGCAGCGGUUCUGACGUGCAAAUCGAUCGUCAAAUUUGUGCAU
rnacentral:rRNA from 1 species